rnacentral:tRNA from 1 species
CCUGGUGGCUCAGAUGGUAAAGCAUCUGCCUGUCAUGCGGAAGACCUGGGUUUGAUCCCUGGGUCAGGA